GCAGCUAUACAUGCAGUCGAACGGUAAGUUGAAUAGCAAUAUUUGACCUAGAGUGACGUACGGGUGCGUAACACGUAUGCAACCUACCCUUUACAGGAGGAUAGCUCGGGGAAACUCGAAUUAACCCUCCAUAACAUAGUGCUGUGGCAUCACAGUAUUAUUAAAACUCAGGUGGUAAAGGAUGGGCAUGCGUCUGAUUAGUUAGUUGGCGGGGUAAUGGCCCACCAAGACGAUGAUCAGUAGGGGAACUGAGAGGUUGAUCCCCCACACUGGCACUGAGAUACGGGCCAGACUCCUACGGGAGGCAGCAGUAGGGAAUAUUGGUCAAUGGAUGCAAGUCUGAACCAGCCAUGCCGCGUGCAGGAAGAAGGCCUUCUGGGUUGUAAACUGCUUUUGCCAGGGGAUAAAAUUUCCUUGCAAGGAAAAUUGAAGGUACCUGGUGAAUAAGCCACGGCUAACUACGUGCCAGCAGCCGCGGUAAUACGUAGGUGGCAAGCGUUGUCCGGAUUUAUUGGGUUUAAAGGGUGCGUAGGCGGUUUUGUAAGUCAGUGGUGAAAUAUAGCAGCUUAACUGUUAGGGUGCCAUUGAUACUGCAGAACUUGAGUACAGAUGAGGUAGGCGGAAUUGACGGUGUAGCGGUGAAAUGCUUAGAUAUCGUCAAGAACACCUAUAGCGAAGGCAGCUUACUAGGCUGUAACUGACGCUGAGGCACGAAAGUGUGGGGAUCAAACAGGAUUAGAUACCCUGGUAGUCCACACUGUAACGUUGAUUACUCGCUGUGUGCGAUAUACAGUACGCGGCCAA
rnacentral:rRNA from 1 species